rnacentral:rRNA from 1 species
CAGUCGCCGCGGUAAUACGUAGGGUGCAAGCGUUAAUCGGAAUUACUGGGCGUAAAGCGUGCGCAGGCGGUUCGCUAAGACAGAUGUGAAAUCCCCGGGCAUAACCUGGGAACUGCAUUUGUGACUGGCGGGCUAGAGUAUGGCAGAGGGGGGUAGAAUUCCACGUGUAGCAGUGAAAUGCGUAGAGAUGUGGAGGAAUACCGAUGGCGAAGGCGGCCAUCUGGGACAACACUGACGCUGAGGCACGAAAGCGUGGGGAGCAAACAGGAUUAGAUACCCGGGUAGUCCCUGUCUCUUAUAC